GAUGAACGCUGGCGGCGUGCCUAAUACAUGCAAGUCGAGCGAACAGACGAGGAGCUUGCUCCUCUGACGUUAGCGGCGGACGGGUGAGUAAAACGUGGAUAACCUACCUAUAAGACUGGGAUAACUUCGGGAAACCGGAGCUAAUACCGGAUAAUAUAUUGAACCGCAUGGUUCAAUAGUGAAAGACGGUUUUGCUGUCACUUAUAGAUGGAUCCGCGCCGCAUUAGCUAGUUGGUAAGGUAACGGCUUACCAAGGCAACGAUGCGUAGCCGACCUGAGAGGGCGAUCGGCCACACUGGAACUGAGACACGGUCCAGACUCCUACGGGAGGCAGCAGUAGGGAAUCUUCCGCCAUGGGCGAAAGCUUGACGGAGCAACGCCGCGUGAGUGAUGAAGGUCUUCGGAUCGUAAACCUCUGUUAUUAGGGAAGAACAAAUGUGUAAGUAACUAUGCACGUCUUGACGGUACCUAAUCAGAAAGCCACGGCUAACUACGUG
rnacentral:rRNA from 1 species